rnacentral:tRNA from 1 species
UGUUCUGUGGCUUAGUUAGUUAAAACGCCAGUCUGGCAAGUACGGAGUCGUGGGUUCGAAUCCCACCAGAGCGU